rnacentral:rRNA from 1 species
UCAAGCUAUACUGUCGGUGAUAUACCGAAGGAAGGUGAGGAUCACGUCAAGUCGUCAUGACCCUUAUGAGCUGGGCUACACACGUGUUACAAUGGCAACCACAAAAGGAAGCAAUGACGCGAGUCGGAGCGAAUCCCCAAAAGUUGUCUCAGUCCGGAUUGUUCUCUGCAACUCGAGAGCAUGAAGUUGGAAUCACUAGUAAUCGUGGAUCAGCACGCCACGGUGAACUCGUACCUGGGCCUUGUACUCACCGCCCGUC